UACGUAGGGUGCAAGCGUUAAUCGGAAUUACUGGGCGUAAAGCGUUCGCAGGCGGUUUUGUAAGUCUGAUGUGAAAUCCCCGGGCUCAACCUGGGAAUUGCAUUGGAGACUGCAAGGCUAGAAUCUGGCAGAGGGGGGUAGAAUUCCACGUGUAGCAGUGAAAUGCGUAGAGAUGUGGAGGAACACCGAUGGCGAAGGCAGCCCCCUGGGUCAAGAUUGACGCUCAUGCACGAAAGCGUGGGGAGCAAACAGG
rnacentral:rRNA from 1 species